rnacentral:tRNA from 1 species
GAGGGUAUAGCUCAAGUGGUAGAGUGCAUGCUUAGCAUGCAUAACGCCCUGGGUUCCAUCCCCAGUACCUCCU